rnacentral:rRNA from 1 species
UUAAAAAGCUCGUAGUCGGAUUUUGGCUGAGAACGGUCGGUCCGCCGUUAGGUGUGCACUGACUGGCCUCAGCUUCCUGGUGAGGAGGUGUGCUUUAUCACCACUUAGUCACCGUGGUUACUUUGAAAAAAUUAGAGUGUUCAAAGCGGGCUUACGCUUGAAUAUAUUAGCAUGGAAUAACACCAUAGGACUCCUGUCCUAUUUCGUUGGUCUCGGGACGGGAGUAAUGAUUAAGAGGAACAGUUGGGGGCAUUCGUAUUUCAUUGUCAGAGGUGAAAUUCUUGGAUUUAUGAAAGACGAACUUCUGCGAAAGCAUUUGCCAAGGAUGUUUUCAUUGAUCAAGAACGAAAGUUGGGGGCUCGAAGAUGAUUAGAUACCAUCCUAGUCUCAACCAUAAACGAUGCCGACUAGGGAUUGGCGGAUGUUAAUUGAUGACUUCGCCAGCACCUUAUGAGAAAUCAAAGUUUUUGGGUUCCGGGGGGAGUAUGGUCGCAAGGCUGAAACUUAAAGGAAUUGACGGAAGGGCACCACCAGGCGUGGAGCCUGCGGCUUAAUUUGACUCAACACGGGGAAACUUACCAGGUCCAGACAUAGUAAGGAUUGACAGAUUGAGAGCUCUUUC